AGUUAGGCUCGCAAGUCUAUAAUUUCCAGCAAAUAUUAUAAACAUUUGACUCCAUCUCGCUAUCUUUUUCUCUGGAAGGGAUGUCCUUCUCUCUCCACUUUUUAAUCCGUAUAUUUCAGGUUUUCCCAUUUUACAUGUCUCGCUGUGUUCAGACCUAUCUGAUGGCUGCAUCUUCUUCAGUCCUCUUGCUCAGGUCCUCUGCUGAUCCUAGGUACACU